CUCCAAGAACAAUCGAUCUUUGGUUGUUUUAAAAAAAAAGUACUCUCUACGAGUGCCAUGUUCAAUGUCCUUCUUCGUCUUGCACUUACAGGCCACAAACGGUCUUUUCCAGCACCUUGACGCCAUGUUGCAGUAACGCCAAAAUUUUUGAUAUUGUGAUUUUAAGCUUUUAAGAUGCAUUAAGCAUCUACAACCGCACUAAGUGCGGUAAUCCACGAUACCGGCCAUGCGGUAAACUUGAAACAACUUGUGCUGUGGUGUUGGGGGCCUGUCCCCGGCAGCCCGGAAGCAAAAUGAAGUGACCGCACCUAAUUCAGGAAAGCCGACGACUAUUUCAUUAUUUUUGGCAUAAACUACUAACCUUUUUUAUCAACUCUACAUAAUGUGAAAAUUUCGUGGACUUAACCUCAUCGGACUUCUCGUCAAACUUUGUCUUCUCUUCUAUCUUAAAGAAAUUUUUUUUGAACCAAUGUAACGUCUUAUUUAAUAUAUAAUUUACAAGCAACGAAAUAAUGUAACAUGGACUAAAUAUAUUUUGAUAAUCAAAAAAAAAAAAAAAAAGUUUUGUAAGAAAUUCAUCAUGUGAUAUUGUAAAGAAAUUUUUUUUUCUUCUCUCUUGGGGCCCCAAAUAAGAUAAAACUUAAACAUAAUAAAAUCAAUAUCAUGUUAGAAAUAAUUUAAAAUACAAGUGAUAUUAUAAGAAGGUCAGGGUGUUUUUUUAAAAAAAAAAAUAAUUUACAUAAAAAAUAAAUUAUUUAUCUGAAAUUGUCCUUUUUUUUAUUAAUCAUUGAAUAAUACUCUUAUAGUUUAUUGUGAGUGUGCAUGACCAGUCAGCCCUGUUGAUACUCUAACUAACCCCUCCGCACAUCGAAACACUUCAUGAGCCUUGGUCCACGAGCUUUCAGCAUCCGCCUGCCUCUGUUCAUAACCUAAAAAUUUAUGAGUAGGAGGUAAGGUGUGGUGCAAUGUUAAAUUACAAACACCGCCUUAUGCAAUGAACUGUUCACAGUGCUGUGAUUGCAUAAUACAUUUAAUUAUUCAUCUGGUAAAUAUUGUUUUAAAUAGACACGCAGGUCCGUGCGUGAACAGUCGUGCGGAAACAGUGACGGUGUAAAAAUGGCUAGCUUUAAUCCCCGGAACACGUAUCCAGAUGUAACUCCAGGCGUAGGCAGCGUUGAGUUAAGCGAGUGGAGUCAGGGCGCGUUGAGACAUGUUACGGAAGAAUGUGACACUACCGUCCACUCGAAACAUAUGAGUCGUAUAGUUCCAAAACCUGCCUUCUCCCCAAAAAUCACAAAAUGAGUUGGUGGUACUGGCACCUUCUGUUUUUGAAUUCGCAUCCUUUGAUGUUGUCAGAUUAUACCAAAAAAAAUCUAUUCCUAUUUUAAACACCAUAGCAAAUCUAAGUUUUUUUCCAAAAACUGCCUUCUCCUUUCUAAAUUAGUUCCAAUACAUGCCUACUUCAAUUUAUUCCAAAUGCUGCUUUAUCCUCAUUUUUAGAAGUCUGCCAUAUCCAUUUCUGUUCCAAAACAUGCCUAUUUAAAGAUUAUUAUUAUGAAACUACCAAUGGUUCAGAACAAUUGUAUUUUUAAUAAUUUUUCUUUUCUAGGCUGUACAUUCUGGCUGUAUUCGAAUUUAUCACAUUCAUUUGUUGCAGAAAAGAAAUCAUGUGUUCCUGUGCUCCUGAGUUAUAUCUGAAAGAAGUUUGUGCUGUGAUGUAGAUUAAAUAGUGUUUUUCUUCAUAAAUCUCACAUAAUGGACACAUAUUCUGAACUAGAUGUUUCUGUCAUCAAAACUACAGAACGGGGGAGGAAGAGAACAAGAGAUCCUGCAAAGUGGAUAAAAAACAUAAAGAAAGUAGAACUAAGUAUUGUCGCCACCAAUGGGUGAAAUAUUGUUUGCAAGCUUUUGUUUUGAAAAAUCACAUUAUAAAACAUUAAUAUAAAUAUAACUAUAAAGAAUAUAAAUACUUAUUACAUUUGCAAUUGUACAACUCUAAAAAUGUCAUUUAUUUUCAGAUACACGUCCAAGUGUCCACCAAAGCAGCCCGAAUGUGAUCACAAAUCAAAUGCAUACAAGUGCUGCACAUUGACAAAAAGGGAUGUAAAUCAAUUCAAUGCUCUUUUCUACAAGACACCAAAUAAACUUGUACAGGAUUAUAUUAUUAUUAAGUACUGCAGUGCAUCGUUGCCGAAAAGAAAAAGGGCAGUAAAAGAAGGAAGUUCACGUAAAGGUAUAUCAAUAACGUAUUACGUUAAGAAGGCAACAUUGAGACCAGGAGAACCUGGUAAGAUUCCUGUCUGCCAAAAGACAUUUUUAGGCAUUUUAGGAGUUAAAAAGACAAGAGUACAAAACAUUUGUAAGAAGCAUUUCAUGAAAUGUGAGGUGUUGAAUGAACGCCGAGGUGGGGACACCAGGUCGAAAGCUUAUGAACCAAAGCGCAAAUCUAUUGCACAAUUUAUUGAGCAAUUAAAACCACUUGAAUCCCACUACUGCAGAGGUAAAAGCAAUAGGCAUUAUUUACCAAGCGAUUUGUCGAUCAAUAAACUGUGGAGAAUGUAUAAUACCCAGUGCACUGAAGUAAGUUCUGAAGUAAGUUUGAAAGUAACAAAAUCUUUUUUCAGGAAUUAUGUUAAUAGAAACUUCAAUAUGGGUUUUGGCCAGCCGGCAAUGGACGUUUGCUCUCAGUGUCUUCAGUUAACAGAACAAAUUAAACGUUGCCACGACAGUGAAAAGAAAUCUGAGCUGAUAAUUA